rnacentral:rRNA from 1 species
GAUGAACGCUGGCGGCGUGCCUAAUACAUGCAAGUCGAGCGAACGGACGAGAAGCUUGCUUCUCUGAUGUUAGCGGCGGACGGGUGAGUAACACGUGGAUAACCUACCUAUAAGACUGGGAUAACUUCGGGAAACCGUAGCUAAUACCGGAUAAUAUUUUGAACCGCAUGGUUCAAAAGUGAAAGACGGUCUUGCUGUCACUGAUAGAUGGAUCCGCGCUGCAUUAGCUAGUUGGUAAGGUAACGGCUUACCAAGGCAACGAUGCAUAGCCGACCUGAGAGGGUGAUCGGCCACACUGGAACUGAGACACGGUCCAGACUCCUACGGGAGGCAGCAGUAGGGAAUCUUCCGCAAUGGGCGAAAGCCUGACGGAGCAACGCCGCGUGAGUGAUGAAGGUCUUCGGAUCGUAAAACUCUGUUAUUAGGGAAGAACAUAUGUGUAAGUAACUGUGCACAUCUUGACGGUACCUAAUCAGAAAGCCACGGCUAACUACGUG